rnacentral:rRNA from 1 species
CCUACGGGAGGCAGCAGUGAGGAAUAUUGGUCAAUGGACGAGAGUCUGAACCAGCCAAGUAGCGUGAAGGAUGACUGCCCUAUGGGUUGUAAACUUCUUUUAUAUGGGAAUAAAAUGUUCCACGUGUGGGAUUUUGUAUGUACCAUAUGAAUAAGGAUCGGCUAACUCCGUGCCAGCAGCCGCGGUAAUACGGAGGAUCCGAGCGUUAUCCGGAUUUAUUGGGUUUAAGGGGAGCGUAGGUGGAUUGUUAAGUCAGUUGUGAAAGUUUGCGGCUCAACCGUAAAAUUGCAGUUGAAACUGGCAGUCGUGAGUACAGUAGAGGUAGGCGGAAUUCGUGGUGUAGCGGUGAAAUGCUUAGAUAUCACGAAGAACUCCGAUUGCGAAGGCAGCUCACUGGACUGCAACUGACACUGAGGCUCGAAAGUGUGGGUAUCAAACAGGAUUAGAUACCCUAGUAGUC